AACUUUUCACAACGGGUCACGUGGCUCUCGCAUCUAUGAAGAACGCAGAGAAAUGCGAUAAGUAAUGUGAAUUGCAGAAUUCAGUGAAUCAUCGAAUCUUUGAACGCACCUUGCGCUCCUUGGUAUUCCGAGGAGCAUGCCUGUUUGAGUGUCAUUAAUAUAUAUCAAACUUCUCUUGUUGAGUUGUUUGGAUGUGGGGGUUUGCUGGCCUCUUAAAGGGGUUCAGCUCUCCUGAAAUGCAAUAGCAGAACAACCUGUUCAUUGGUGUGAUAAACUAUCUACGCUAUUGAAUGUGAAGGGAAGUUCAGCUUUCUAACAGUCUUUGGACAAAUUCAUCAUUAAUGUGACCUCAAAUCAGGUGGGACUACCCGCUGAACUUAAGCAUAUCAAUAAGCGGAGGCU
rnacentral:misc_RNA from 1 species